rnacentral:lncRNA from 1 species
CUUCAUUUGCACGUCUUUUUUGUUUCUUAAUAACUUCAGUCCGGAACUCGUAAGCCUGAAUGACUUCAGCUAGCUGUUGCUUUAAAUUCUAUAUAAAAUACUAUGAUACUGAAAUAAUGACAAAAAUACACAUACAUACAUAAGCAUGGUAGAUAUAGUUAAAUCAUUAAAUAAAGCAUCAAACACUUAAAUAACUACAUAAUUCGAAAUAUGUGAGUAACAGGUUGUUGUUUCCCAAAUUUCAUACAUAAGCCCAUCUAUAUGUUACUUAAUACCUAAAUUUCCACAUAAUCCGAAAUUCACAAGUAAGGGGAUGUUGGUACCCAAAAUUUCCUAUAUAAGCACAUUUAUAUUUGAUAGGCUUCAUCGUAAUCAAUAAUUACAAAUGGUGCAGUUUACUCAUAUCCAGAUGAAUGUCAAUAUAAUCUAGUAUAAUGAGCAUAAACCUCACUAAGAAUACAAAAAAGUUUCUCCAUUCCCUUAAUUAAAAUUUCUAUAACAAAAUAAGAACUUGUUUUUUGAAUUCGAUAGUUCCCACACGGGUGCUAACAGUGAAAUCAUAAUAACCACAAAAAAUUUGAAAUUUGAAAACCUUGAGACCUGAGAAACCAUAAAGCUCCCAUCGUUCGAUAAUCAUAAUAAGACCCUGAUUUUUGGAAGAACAUAAAGUCGUAAAUAUAGUGCAUGGUCGAUCCACUAACCUUAUAUGGGGGAGAAUUUUGGUAAAGCGGCCAAUAUUAUCAUCUGCAAGAAAAGCAACAAAAAAUAUAACUAAUAGUAUUUGAAGGAAAAUAGUGUGCGUUUGCGUAAUGUUGGAAAGGGGUGGGGUAGUAACAAAACAUAAGAUGGCAUAACCAAAACACUUGACUAUUAUCAAUUAAAGAACCUAUAAGACAACAUACUGAAGACAACUUAUGGCCGACGGAAUAGAAUCACCUAACUGCAGCACAACACUUAAAAAGACUAUCACUAACACUCUAAAAUGCGGUAAAAAAAUUAUAAAAUACGUUAAAAUGAUUAUGAAUCUAAACCCAGAAUUACUAACUGCUUCAAGAAAUCAGGAAAAAAUCCAAUGAGAUGCAUUUAUAAAAUAUGCCCUUACGAAAUACAAACACAAACAUGAACAUUGUACAUCACACACAUAUAAAUUGCAUUGCACGAAACACAUUAGCGCACACACUUUCAUAUCUUAUAUGAAGAAAGAAUUGAAAAUAAGAACCCUAUUGCUUUUCGCUACUGCUUUUAAAAAAACGCAGAAGUUAAAAAUGCAUACACGAAAAAACAUGCUUUUCCCUACUCUUUUGUAUGUUCAAUUGUCAGACAAUUGAAAUGUAUACAACCUGAGGUUAUACCAAAUAAUAAAGCUAAGCUGUGAAAAAGAUAAAAGACAUUGAUAAAUUAAAAGGACCUCAAAAGAAAGCAAUAAAAAACAUCGGAAAAGUAUUGGACAUCACUAUAGCAAAAUGGUCACUCAAACUUUUCUUUGAAAUGUAAAUUCAAAAUAGUAUGUCCGGAUUCCACAUUGCUUAAUUAAAUUUCAAACAUAGCAUUUAACUGAAAUUACAUGUCAAAAUACUAAUUUAAUUUCUCGCUUCAACAGAAUAGUAUUGCUUUUUUAAACCUAAAUUAUAACAAAUAAAAUCAUAACUCAGUACUAAACAAAUUAAAAGAACAACCUUAGAUAAACCCAAUUUAUUUGAUUACAAACUGCAACUAUCCCUUGUAUAUGGGAGGAACACUUUUUACGCAAUACUUUUUAUACAGCAAAACUGUAUAUUGAAAAUUAUUGUACUAAAAAAGGGUUGGUAAUGCUACAAUAUUUGAAACGAUUAUAUUCUUAAAAAAAUGAGAAAAUAGCAUAGAAAUAUAAGAGGAUCAUCGUGUAGCGUAAUUGUUUGGAGAUACGGAAAAACUGAAUAUAAAACUUGGAUACCAAGAGUACAAAAGUUGUUUCUAAACUGCACCAGGAAAAAUGUAUUCUUAUUCAUAUAUAAGAGUAUAUAUAUUCAUAUAUACAUAUAGGUAUUUAUAUAUAACCAGACAAACACAUAUUUGUAGCUAUUCAAUCAGAUAGAAUGAGACAAUAAAGUCCUUAUUGUUCUAGGAAGAGAUCCAUGGGAUACUUAUCGAGGAUUGAUGAGAGAAGAGGUGGAAGAAAAGACUUGGGAUGGAUUGUAUCCAUAUAGAUAUAAAUAUGCAAACACACUUAAAAAAUAUAUAUUCAAUUGUGGUUUCUGAGUCGACAUUUAUGAUCAAAGUAUAAAAUAUUUUAUCACCCCAAACAUACACACAAAAAAAAAAAUAUCUGUAUAAUCAUCUUAACCACAAACAGUAUAUAUUACACAAUAGAAUAAUGGAUGCUAAUUCAACCAAUUCCGUCAAUUCCGUCAAUUCCAUCAAUACUUCGAAACAAACGUACAUAAUUCAAUGCUAAUUUGCAAAUUAAUCAAAAAAAUAUCAGAGUUCAAACAUAAAAUUAAAAAAAAAAAAAAAUGAAACAUACCACCUAGAUAUUUCUCCAAUUUUACGCAUUUGUCUGUCUUCACAAAUCGGAAAUUGGAAAACCCCACUCCUCUAUGAUCUUCGUUGAUUAUAGAAACAAUUGGAUGCAGAACACUACAUGUUUGUUGCUCUUCGUCGGAUUUUUUUAAGGAAUUUUACAUGAUGUAAUAAGUAAGAAGCGGAGGAAACUGAAUAACGUAAAAGAGAAGAUGAACAAAUACAGAAAAAAGCAAAACCGUCGUCGAGAAACAUAGAAGAAGUUUUUAGAUCGUUUAAAAAAAUAAAAAAUAAAAACCCAAAAACAGGGGAAAAAAGGAAAAUAAAUAAAAACGACCCAUGACAGAAAAGCCUUUAGAGAAACCAACAAACGGCAAUGAAGUCUUACCCCAUAACCUGGAGAUUCUGUCUUAAAAGGGGAUUGAAUCGGUAAAUUAUGCAAUUAUAAAUAAGGUUUUGCAGAAAUAUGUAGAUUUCCGAUUUGAAGAAAGAAAACUCAAAUUUAUGGAAAAAAAUCAUGUCCGAUGGAAAUUCCACAAUUUUGUUUCGUUCCCAAAAUUUGUGUUUCCUCUGUUUUUCCCGGAAGUUUAAACUCUUACUUGAAAUUUGGAGCACCGUCGGCAGAGGCUUCCACCGGCAAACAAUGAGCGGCUGCUCCACUCUCACUUCCGGCGGAAUUUGAAAUCUUCAAUUUUCUGUAAAGAUUU